rnacentral:rRNA from 1 species
CUUAAAUUGAAGAGUUUGAUCAUGGCUCAGAUUGAACGCUGGCGGCAGGCCUAACACAUGCAAGUCGAGCGGAAACGAGUUAACUGAACCUUCGGGGGACGAUAACGGCGUCGAGCGGCGGACGGGGGAGUAAUGCCUAGGAAAUUGCCCUGUAGUGGGGGAUAGCCAUUGGAAACGAUGGAGAAGACCGCAUGAUGCGUACCGGCCAAAGA